AGGCAUGAGCUUGUAUUUUGACAAGAAGGAUCUGCUUAAAUCUUCGUCAAAGUUGCAUUGCAUACGAUUUAAACCCAAAACAAAAAGGGGGGGAAAAAAACCAUGCUCUUGGCUUUUUCAGCGGCAAUGUUCUUGUUUUAUCUUUCAGCCCAAGAACUUGCCAGUCAAGAUGAAAAACUUCUUCUAAUGGAAUCCAGCUUGAAAGCUACUCAAGAGCAGCUAACUGAGCAAAUAGCAGAAACAGUUCGCCAAGAACAGAACAGUAGAAAAGCCCAGGCAGAGCCGAAGACAGUGACAGAAAGGAUUAUGGCCUCUGAAGAAGAAAAAAGUGAUUGCAAGUUCCCAUACGUGUCAUCCUUAUGUCAUUAUCUCUUUGGAAAGCUUCUAAAUUCAUCAUGUUCAUUACAUGAGUAGCAGUAUGUCUUGAAUCUUCUAUUUUACCAUCUGUUACAACUCCAUGAGAAGAGAAAUGAGGAGGAAAAUUAAGUUGAUUCUGCAAAAUGGGGUAGAAUGCUGCUUAACUCACAGGAUUGUCCCAAUGAUUAAAUGAGAUCAUGCAUAUCAUAGCAUAGCGAUAGAAUCAUGGUAAGUUUUCAAUAUAUAUUAGCUAUUUGUAGCACAUACCUCUACUGUUUCCUAACCUAAUGUAUU